GUCGGGCAGCCCUGCGUCUUUACCCUUGGCUGUGCUCACAGCUGACACUUGCCGAAGUUUCGCGAAGGGCUGCAGAUGAGUUUUGCUGGCCGCAGAGCGUUUCAGGGUUGCGCAGUGCAGGAAAAACCAAGUGACAUCAGACAGAUUUUUCAUCAAAAUGGACCCUGCAGCUAAGAGACAGAGCAGAAACCCCUGAAGGAGGACUCCCCGUGUCCUUAUGGAGGGGACUCUCCCUCCAGAGAGUAACCUCCUCCCCGCCCACCUUCCUGUCCUCCACGCCAGCGGUCACCUCUAGCAAGGUUCCCCUAAGUCUGUGGCGGUCCAGCCGUCACAACACGAACAUGCCUGAGUCGGGGAGUGAGGAUUGAGAAAGGAAAGAACACUCAAGCCUGAGUGGAGACGAAGAGAAGUCUGAUUUAUUUCACAGAAAGAGCUCCUUUUAUAGGUUCACAGCAACAGGAAGCUUUUAAGGGCACACAACAACCAAAAACACCAAGUCAUUGUUUUUCAAAGACCGGAUUUCCUGACUCUUACUGAUAACAUCAGAUCUUUGGCUAACGAGCUUCCUGUUAUGUCAGGGUCAAAGAGUCAAAACCAGCUUAACAGACAGUUUCCUUGAAGAGUAGCAAAUGUUGAUGCCUUAAUUAUACAAGAAGAAGUUAUUUUCCAAAUGUCAAACUCCAGUGGGCCAUGACUGGGCCCCGACAU
rnacentral:lncRNA from 1 species